UACAGAGGGUGCGAGCGUUAAUCGGAAUUACUGGGCGUAAAGCGCGCGUAGGCGGCUUUUCAGGUCGAUUGUGAAAUCCCCGGGCUUAACCUGGGAACUGCAGUCGAGACUGUCUAGCUAGAGUAUGGGAGAGGGAAGUGGAAUUUCAGGUGUAGCGGUGAAAUGCGUAGAUAUCUGAAGGAACAUCAGUGGCGAAAGCGACUUCCUGGACCAAUACUGACGCUCAUGUGCGAAAGCGUGGGGAGCAAACAGG
rnacentral:rRNA from 1 species